UACAGAGGUGGCAAGCGUUGUUCGGAAUUAUUGGGCGUAAAGCGCGUGUAGGCGGCUUUGCAAGUCGGGUGUGAAAGCCCUCAGCUCAACUGAGGAAGUGCGCCCGAAACUGCAGAGCUUGAGUGCCGGAGAGGGUGGCGGAAUUCCCCAAGUAGAGGUGAAAUUCGUAGAUAUGGGGAGGAACACCGGUGGCGAAAGGCGGCCACCUGGACGGUAACUGACGCUGAGACGCGAAAGCGUGGGGAGCAAACAGG
rnacentral:rRNA from 1 species